AGGUUAGAGAGCCUGGUCACCUCGCGAGGCGACGGAGAGGGCUCGUGCUCCCCGAGCAGAACGCCGCCCCAGCGCCCGUUGUAUGUGGAGUCGUCGCCUCCCCUGAUCUGCUGCGGCCAUCUUCGAUUUUGGCGGGUAAAAUCCAUCGAAUCCACCUCUGAGCCACAAGCUCCUCGGCGGAGGAACACGAACUUGGGCAUCGACAAAUAAUAGGCCGCGCAGCAUCGUCCACUCCGAUGAGUGACUUGAGGUAGGCCACCUCGCGUCCACUGCCGGCGGUGUAGGAGCAUCUCGUCGGCCUCGUCAGCUUUUUCCCCGAAGGCCAGCUGCAACUGCAGGAUCAAUUGGAUCUUUUUCUUGGUGUGUAUAUCAGUUGGGGUCUUAAUCGAUGACAAUGGGGAUGCGUGGAUCGAUUGAAUAUGCUUUCUGUUCAUUAGCACACAAGGUGUUCGCUGUAUUGCCUGAAAGGUGCUGGAGGGUAUUAGCUAAGGCUCUGGAUGGCAACUUCAAAUUAUCUCUGCCUGGCCGCAGCAAACUCUCUCUAUUAUAUCUAAUUUAACUGAAUUUGUAUGGUGUUAGCUAAUGCUCUCUGGAAGUCAUACGUACCUUUGAUCUCUUAUAACUAGUUAUACUCAUCAUUGUCAUGGUGUAGUUAUUCUCUAUUGCGUCUAGUUUAACUGAAUUUGUAUUAUUGUAUUUAUGAAAUCAUGUUAUAUAUUCCGAGUAUUUAUUAAUAUAAAUAUAUAUCAUACUUGCGCUUCUCAAAGAAAUUCAUAUGACUUAUUGAAUCCCCUAUGCAUUCUCUCGUACAAGCAACAAAAUAGCAUAUAAAGAUCAAAUGUAUACUUCAUCACCAUUAUUUAUGUGCCAUUGUAUGAAUUAAAUAGUACAUAGACAAUCUAAUAGAGAAGCCAUUGUACAAGUUAUCUAUUCUGUUAUCUGUGUACAUUCUUCAAAGCACUUGCGGAUAGCAACUGUCUAAACUAUUGAACAUACCUUAAAACUCCUCCCUCUCCUGAUGAAACUCCACUCAUAAUGAUCUUGCCAAGUUAGCAAUUUUGUUGAUGUGGCAACAAAUUUAGUGCUAAUGAAACUCCUAUUGAGACUUGCCUUAUUUUCAGAAGAUCGUCCCAGCAUCACGACAAUAAAUAUGUAGUUAAAUAUGUAGAGAAGUAGCCACGAUGACAUUUGGAGCAGACAUAAAUACAUAAUAAAUGCAAAUAUGUAGAGAUGAUGCAUUAUUUAAUUAAUACCUAAAACUGCUAGGCUCCAUCUCUAGUAUAUAAAUUGAUGCUUUCAGUCUAUUUUAUCACCACCAAUUGUUAAGCUGAAAUCAUUCUUGGGCAUACAACCCAACAAUCUUCAUCGCAAGGUUUUUCAAAUCCAAGAAUGACGACCGGCCGCAUGAUGAUAUUUGCUCUAGCCCUGCUUGCCCUAUCCUCAGAUACGGUAACUUAGGAGCAGGCUCAGAGACGGUAACUUUGGCAAAAUGGAUCAUCUGUACCCCAGGACCAGUUGUGUCGUAUAGCAACACUGUCUGGUUCAUGUGACAUCACGUCAUGCACCAGGUUUUGCAAGUCCAACCUUGUGGGCCCUGGCAAGCUUCAUGUCGAAUGUAAUUCUAGAGGAUGCAAUUGCACGCUCUGCCAAAAUUUUACGAUUUCUACUUAAGAAAUUGUAAUGGUCAUUCAGGUGCUGGCCAUUUAG